GAUGAACGCUAGCUACAGGCUUAACACAUGCAAGUCGAGGGGAAACGGCAUUGAGUGCUUGCACUCUUUGGACGUCGACCGGCGCACGGGUGAGUAACGCGUAUCCAACCUUCCCAUUACUGUGGGAUAACCUGCCGAAAGGCAGACUAAUACCGCAUAGUCUUCGAUGACGGCAUCAGAUUUGAAGUAAAGAUUUAUCGGUAAUGGAUGGGGAUGCGUCUGAUUAGCUUGUUGGCGGGGUAACGGCCCACCAAGGCUACGAUCAGUAGGGGUUCUGAGAGGAAGGUCCCCCACAUUGGAACUGAGGCACGGUCCAAACUCCUACGGGAGGCAGCAGUGAGGAAUAUUGGUCAAUGGACGGAAGUCUGAACCAGCCAAGUAGCGUGCAGGAUGACGGCCCUAUGGGUUGUAAACUGCUUUUGUAUGGGGAUAAAGUUAGGGACGUGUCCCUAUUUGCAGGUACCAUACGAAUAAGGACCGGCUAAUUCCGUGCCAGCAGCCGCGGUAAUACGGAAGGUCCAGGCGUUAUCCGGAUUUAUUGGGUUUAAAGGGAGCGUAGGCUGGAGAUUAAGUGUGUUGUGAAAUGUAGACGCUCAACGUCUGACUUGCAGCGCAUACUGGUUUCCUUGAGUACGCACAACGUUGGCGGAAUUCGUCGUGUAGCGGUGAAAUGCUUAGAUAUGACGAAGAACUCCGAUUGCGAAGGCAGCUGACGGGAGCGCAACUGACGCUUAAGCUCGAAGGUGCGGGUAUCAAACAGG
rnacentral:rRNA from 1 species